rnacentral:lncRNA from 1 species
CUGGCUCCUCGGUCCUUUCUCCACUCGCCCUGAAAGUGCCUCCCUGCCUGGCAGCUCCGAGUGUUGGCGGGGCCUGCCCGCUGCUGACACACACAUUUUCAGAGCCCACCGCCGUCUUUCAUCCCAGCAGCCCCCGUGACAGACGCAGGUUUCUGGCUGUAAACCGUCCCUCCCUGCCCCCUUUCUUCUCCCCUCCCCGACCCUCUCCUCUGCAAGAGCUGUCCCCUCCAAAAGACCACUUGCGCCUCCCACCCCACUUCAUAGCCCUUCUCUUC